CUACGGGUCGCUCCAGUGAGGAAUAUUGCGCAAUGGGCGAAAGCCUGACGCAGCGACGCCGCGUGGAGGAUGAAGGCCUUCGGGUUGUAAACUCCUGUUAAGUGGGAAGAAAUCUUUGUCAAUAAUACGGACAAAGGAUGACGGUACCAUUAGAGAAAGCACCGGCUAACUUCGUGCCAGCAGCCGCGGUAAUACGAGGGGUGCUAGCGUUAUUCGGAAUUACUGGUCGUAAAGGGUGUGUAGGCGGUUUGCCAAGUCCGCUGUUAAAUCUUUCAGCCUAACUGAAAGCUUGCGGUGGAAACUGGCUUACUUGAGAACGGAAGAGAGAGGUGGAAUUCUCGGAGUAGCGGUAAAAUGCGUGGAUCUCGAGAGGAACACCGAUGGCGAAGGCAGCCUCUUGGUCCGUUUCUGACGCUGAGACACGAAAGCGUGGGGAGCGAACAGGAUUAGAUACCCCUGUAGUC
rnacentral:rRNA from 1 species